rnacentral:rRNA from 1 species
UAGGGAAUUUUCCACAAUGGGCGAAAGCCUGAUGGAGCAACGCCGCGUGCAGGACGAAGGCCUUCGGGUCGUAAACUGCUUUUGUUUGUGAAGAUUAUGACGGUAACAGACGAAUAAGGGUCUGCUAACUACGUGCCAGCAGCCGCGGUCAUACGUAGGACCCAAGCGUUAUCCGGAAUUACUGGGCGUAAAGAGUUGCGUAGGUGGCAGAGUAAGUUGGUAGUGAAAGCGUGUGGCUCAACCAUACAUCCAUUACCAAAACUGCUCAGCUAGAGGACAAGAGAGGUAGAUGGAAUUCUCAGUGUAGGAGUGAAAUCCGUAGAUAUUGGGAAGAACACCGAUGGCGUAGGCAGUCUACUGGCUUGUUCCUGACACUAAGGCACGAAAGCGUGGGGAGCGAACGGGAUUAGAUACCCGCGUAGUCC